UGUGAAAUGUAGAUGCUCAACAUCUGCACUGCAGCGCGAACUGGUUUCCUUGAGUACGCACAAAGUGGGCGGAAUUCGUGGUGUAGCGGUGAAAUGCUUAGAUAUCACGAAGAACUCCGAUUGCGAAGGCAGCUCACUGGAGCGCAACUGACGCUGAAGCUCGAAAGUGCGGGUAUCGAACAGGAUUAGAUACCCUGGUAGUCCGCACGGUAAACGAUGGAUGCCCGCUGUUGGUCUGAAUAGGUCAGCGGCCAAGCGAAAGCAUUAAGCAUCCCACCUGGGGAGUACGCCGGCAACGGUGCAACUCAAAUGAAUUGACGG
rnacentral:rRNA from 1 species